rnacentral:rRNA from 1 species
UGAGGAAUAUUGGACAAUGGGCGCAAGCCUGAUCCAGCCAUGCCGCGUGCAGGAAGAAGCAUCUAUGGUGUGUAAACUGCUUUUGUACGGGAAGAAACACUCCUUCGUGAAGGAGCUUGACGGUACCGUAAGAAUAAGGAUCGGCUAACUCCGUGCCAGCAGCCGCGGUAAUACGGAGGAUCCAAGCGUUAUCCGGAAUCAUUGGGUUUAAAGGGUCCGUAGGCGGUUUGGUAAGUCAGUGGUGAAAGCCCGCAGCUCAACUGUGGAACGGCCAUUGAUACUGCCAGACUUGAAUUACAAGGAAGUAACUAGAAUAUGUAGUGUAGCGGUGAAAUGCUUAGAUAUUACAUGGAAUACCAAUUGCGAAGGCAGGUUACUACUUGUGGAUUGACGCUGAUGGACGAAAGCGUGGGGAGCGAACAGG